AACGAACGCUGGCGGCAGGCUUAACACAUGCAAGUCGAGCGCCCCGCAAGGGGAGCGGCAGACGGGUGAGUAACGCGUGGGAACGUACCUUUUGGUUCGGAACAACUCCGGGAAACUGGAGCUAAUACCGGAUAAGCCCUAACGGGGAAAGAUUUAUCGCCGAAAGAUCGGCCCGCGUCUGAUUUGCUAGUUGGUGAGGUAACGGCUCACCAAGGCGACGAUCAGUAGCUGGUCUGAGAGGAUGAUCAGCCACACUGGGACUGAGACACGGCCCAGACUCCUACGGGAAGCAGCAGUGGGGAAUAUUGGACAAUGGGCGCAAGCCUGAUCCAGCCAUGCCGCGUGAGUGAUGAAGGCCUUAGGGUUGUAAAGCUCUUUUGUCCGGGAAGAUAAUGACGGUACCGGAAGAAUAAGCCCCGGCUAACUUCGUG
rnacentral:rRNA from 1 species